GAUGAACGCUGGCGGCGUGCCUAAUACAUGCAAGUCGAGCGAAUGGAUUAAGAGCUUGCUCUUAUGAAGUUAGCGGCGGACGGGUGAGUAACACGUGGGUAACCUGCCCAUAAGACUGGGAUAACUCCGGGAAACCGGGGCUAAUACCGGAUAACAUUUUGAACCGCAUGGUUCGAAAUUGAAAGGCGGCUUCGGCUGUCACUUAUGGAUGGCUCCGCGUCGCAUUAGCUAGUUGGUGAGGUAACGGCUCACCAAGGCAACGAUGCGUGGCCGACCUGAGAGGGUGAUCGGCCACACUGGGACUGAGACACGGCCCAGACUCCUACGGGAGGCAGCAGUAGGGAAUCUUCCGCAAUGGACGAAAGUCUGACGGAGCAACGCCGCGUGAGUGAUGAAGGCUUUCGGGUCGUAAAACUCUGUUGUUAGGGAAGAACAAGUGCUAGUUGAAUAAGCUGGCACCUUGACGGUACCUAACCAGAAAGCCACGGCUAACUACGUGCCAGCCGCCGCCGUAA
rnacentral:rRNA from 1 species